GAUGAACGCUGGCGGCGUGCCUAAUACAUGCAAGUCGAGCGAACAGACGAGGAGCUUGCUCCUCUGACGUUAGCGGCGGACGGGUGAGUAACACGUGGAUAACCUACCUAUAAGACUGGGAUAACUUCGGGAAACCGGAGCUAAUACCGGAUAAUAUAUUGCACCGCAUGGUUCAAUAGUGAAAGACGGUUUUGCUGUCACUUAUAGAUGGAUCCGAGCCGCAUUAGCUAGUUGGUAAGGUAACAGCUUACCAAGGCAACGAUGCGUAGCCGACCGGAGAGGGUGGUCGCCCACACUGGAGCUGAGACACGGUCCAUACUCCUACGGGAGGCAGCAGUAGGGAAUCGUCCGCAAUGGGCGAAAGCCUGACGGAGCAGCGCCGAGUGAGUGAUGAAGGUCUUCGGAUCGUAAAACUCUGUUAUUAGGUGAGAACAAAUGUGUAAGUAACUAUGCACGUCUUGACGGUACCUAAUCAGAAAGCCACGGCUAACUACGUG
rnacentral:rRNA from 1 species